CCUACGGGCGGCAGCAGUGAGGAAUAUUGGUCAAUGGACGAGAGUCUGAACCAGCCAAGUAGCGUGAAGGAUGACUGCCCAAUGGGGUGUAAACUUCGUGUAUAUGGGAAUAAAAUGUUCCACGUGUGGGAUUUUGUAUGUACCAUAUGAAUAAGGAUCGGCUAACUCCGGGCCAGCAGCCGCGGUAAUACGGAGGAUCCGAUCGUUAUCCGGAUUUAUUGGGUUUAAAGGGAGCGUAGGUGGUUUGUUAAGUCAGUUGUGAAAGUUUGCGGCUCAACCGUAAAAUUGCAGUUGAAACUGGCAGUCUUGAGUACAGUAGAGGUGGGCGGAAUUCGUGGUGUAGCGGUGACAUGCUUAGAUCUCACGAAGAACUCCGAUUGCGAAGGCAGCUCACUGGACUGCAACUGACACUGAGGCUCGAAAGUGUGGGUAUCAAACAGGAUUAGCUACCCCGGUAGUC
rnacentral:rRNA from 1 species